GAAUGCUACGGUGAAUACGUUCCCGGGCCUUGUACACACCGCCCGUCACACCAUGGGAGUGGGUUGCAAAAGAAGUAGGUAGCUUAACCUUCGGGAGGGCGCUUACCACUUUGUGAUUCAUGACUGGGGUGAAGUCGUAACAAGGUAACCGUAGGGGAACCUGCGGUUGGAUCACCUCCUUACCUUAAAGAA
rnacentral:rRNA from 1 species